GACGAACGCUGGCGGCGUGCUUAACACAUGCAAGUCGAACGAAGAGCGAUGGAAGCUUGCUUCUAUCAAUCUUAGUGGCGAACGGGUGAGUAACGCGUAAUCAACCUGCCCUUCAGAGGGGGACAACAGUUGGAAACGACUGCUAAUACCGCAUACGAUCUAAUCUCGGCAUCGAGGAUAGAUGAAAGGUGGCCUCUACAUGUAAGCUAUCACUGAAGGAGGGGAUUGCGUCUGAUUAGCUAGUUGGUGGGGUAACGGCCCACCAAGGCGAUGAUCAGUAGCCGGUCUGAGAGGAUGAACGGCCACAUUGGGACUGAGACACGGCCCAGACUCCUACGGGAGGCAGCAGUGGGGAAUCUUCCGCAAUGGACGAAAGUCUGACGGAGCAACGCCGCGUGAGUGAUGACGGCCUUCGGGUUGUAAAGCUCUGUUAAUCGGGACGAAAGGCCUUCUUGCGAAUAGUGAGAAGGAUUGACGGUACCGGAAUAGAAAGCCACGGCUACUACGUG
rnacentral:rRNA from 1 species